AAAAUCCGUCGAAUUUGAAAAUCGUGAGG
rnacentral:tRNA from 4 species